CGAAGGGGGCUAGCGUUGCUCGGAUUUACUGGGCGUAAAGGGCGCGUAGGCGGACAGUUUAGUCAGAGGUGAAAGCCCGGGGCUCAACCCCGGAAUUGCCUUUGAUACUGGCUGUCUUGAGUACGGGAGAGGUGUGUGGAACUCCGAGUGUAGAGGUGAAAUUCGUAGAUAUUCGGAAGAACACCAGUGGCGAAGGCGACACACUGGCCCGUUACUGACGCUGAGGCGCGAAAGCGUGGGGAGCAAACAGGAUUAGAUACCCUGGUAGUCCACGCCGUAAACGAUGAUUGCUAGUUGUCGGCACGCAUGCGUGUCGGUGACGCAGCUAACGCAUUAAGCAAUCCGCCUGGGGAGUACGGUCGCAAGAUUA
rnacentral:rRNA from 1 species